UUUCGAGCCGCAGAGAGGAAUCCGUGCUGGGCUGUAUACAGAGGAGAUAAGGCCUUCUCCCGUUUUCCCUGAAGACAACCGCUACAAUGAGAGCCGCUGGGUUUCUGAGUAUGCAGACAGCUACAGCAUCUUCCUGAAGCAGCUGGACUGGUCCUCCCCCAUCUCUGCACAGUGGCUGCCCUUUGGGAAGGACGCGCGAUGGACGCCGCGAUGGAAACUGGUCGGUAACUGAGCGGUGCCGAGGGGGCUGAGCUCUUUGGCCCUCCAAGCUGCCUGUGUGAUAUUGCUCAUCAGAAACCCCGAAAGCCAUGGAAACCUCCAAACCCACCACCAUGUCUGUCAGAUGUGAAACGUUCGGCAAAGACAUCUUUAAGUGCAAAUUAUGAUUAAAAUCUCCCAAG